CAUUAAGCAUAUAUUAACACGCCUAAUUUAUUAUAAAUACAUUUCUUACCAUGGAGAGAUGUGUUCUACUGCUUCUUAUAACAGUACCAGGUAUAUUUGCUGAUAACAUUCAACCAAAGGACAAGGACAAUAUAAUCAGUAAAGAAGGAGAGUCUGUGACACUGAGCUGCACAUAUGAUGCAAGCAGUAACAAUAUUAUGCUUUACUGGUACAGACAGUAUCCCAAAACACAACCUCAGUAUUUACUGUGGAAAGGUGCUCGAUCAUGGAGCAACAGUGAGGAUAUACCAGACCGCCGGUUUCAGUCAAUUAUAUCUGAAUCAUCCACUGAACUCACUAUUGCCAGAGUAACUUUGUCAGAUUCAGCUCUCUAUUAUUGUGCUCUAAGAGUUGGAGCCCAGUGA